rnacentral:rRNA from 1 species
UACAGAGGGUGCGAGCGUUAAUCGGAAUUAUUGGGCGUAAAGCGCAUGUAGGUUGUUUUGUAAGUCUGAUGUGAAAGCCCUGGGCUUAACCUGGGAAUGGCGUUGGAAACUGUAGGACUAGAGUCGGGUAGAGGGCAGUGGAAUUUCCGGUGUAGCGGUGAAAUGCGUAGAGAUCGGAAAGAACACCAGUGGCGAAGGCGACUGCCUGGACCGAGACUGACACUGAGGUGCGAAAGCGUGGGGAGCAAACAGG